UACAGAGGGGGCAAGCGUUGUUCGGAAUUACUGGGCGUAAAGGGCGCGUAGGCGGCCUGCUAAGUCGAACGUGAAAUCCCCGGGCUUAACCUGGGAAUGGCAUUUGGGACUGCAAGGCUGGAGUGUGGCAGAGGAGACUGGAAUUCCUGGUGUAGCAGUGAAAUGCGUAGAUAUCAGGAGGAAUACCGAUGGCGAAGGCAGGUCUCUGGGCUGACACUGACGCUCAUGCACGAAAGCGUGGGGAGCAAACAGG
rnacentral:rRNA from 1 species